AUCACUUCUCGGCCUUUUGGCUAAAAUCAAGUGUAGCAUCUGUUCUUAUCAGUUUAAUAUCUGAUAUGCCUCCUACCUGGGGACCAUAUAUUAAAUGGAUUUUUGAAACCGGGGGCCGAUUUCGGAGCUUGCUUUUGACAUUCCAACUAUUGACAUGUCCCCACUGCAUUCAUGAGUUAUUGGGAAGUG